rnacentral:RNase_P_RNA from 1 species
GGCGGGAAGAAGUUCAUCAGUGAGGCCAUGAGCUGAGUGCAUUAUGUCACUCCCACUACUGUCCCUUGGAAAGGUCUGAGACAAGGGCCACCAAGAGCAGCCCUAACAGGGCUCUCUCCCUGAGCCUCGGGAGGUGAGAAAGAGAUGGCAGUGAUGUAUCUGAACCAAAGUCAAGGGGGCAUAGUAACUUCCAGACCUAAGAGGCAAGGAAGGUUCUUCCUAGAGCCUUCAGAGGGAACAUGGGCAUUUGACAGCUUGAUUUCAGCUGUCAAGCCUCC